rnacentral:lncRNA from 1 species
CAAUUAUAAAAUUUAUGAUCACGAAUACGUAAUUAUGUAUCACAACUUAUUUAUUAAUCACAUAUUAUUAAAAUAAUUGGUAACAAAUUAGUUCUCGAUCACAAAUAAUUUUUUUUUAUAAAUCACAAUUUAUUAAUCGGUCACAAAUCACCAAUUUUAUAGUUUACAAUUUAUUUCACGAUCACAAAUUAUCAAAUUAGUUAGUCGCAAGUUAUUUCUCAGUAACAAAUUUUCGAAUUAUUAGAUCACAUAUUAAAUUGUCAAACAAC